CUGGGGCGGGGACAGGAGACGGUGGUGGUGAGGGUGGGUCUUUCCGGGGACGAUGCCGUCCGCCUUCUCGGUCAGCUCUUUCCCCGUCAGCAUUCCUGCCGUGAUCACGCAGACGGACUGGACGGAGCCGUGGCUCGUGGGGCUGGCUGUCUUCCACGUGCUGUGCCUGCUGCUCACCUGUCUCUCUGCCCAGAGGUAUAAACUCCAGGUCGGGCAUUUCCUGUGCUUAGUGAUUUUGGUUUAUUGUGCCGAGUACAUCAACGAGGUGGCAGCGAUGAACUGGAGGCCUCGGGAUGUCCUCCCGGCGGAGACCCCAGGCCGCCCUCUGGUGACCGCAGCUCCACCCGUGGCCCCCGCCAGCCUCUGUCCCCGGGGUGGAGACCCGCAGGGUGUCUCCAGCCGUCACCACCCUCUGCUCAUCUUCCGCUCCCCCUUCAUCCUGCCUGAGAGCCAGGCCCCACGUCUGCUUACGGCUCAGCACCUGCACCCACACGUGUGAGCGAGGCACAGCUGUGCAAACCGAGGGGCUUCAUCCGUGACCGUCGAAAGUGCGUCUAGAUGUGGGUUUCAAACAGUGGUCCGUGGGCCGUGUCUGGCCCACUCCUUUUAUGUGGCCUGUGAGCUAAAAAUGGUCUUGAUGUUUCUAGGCGCUAAAAUGUUCACAUUCUUGAAUGUAAAAAAAGAGAAGAACGACUAGAUUGUCAGCAAAAAGGAGUUGCAGACCUUGCCUCUUGGCCCACGAAGCAUGAGUCAUUUUCAAAAUACCAGUAUUUCGAUUCACGGGGGAUGUUCAUUUCUCUAGUGUUUUCAGCACCGCUGCUGCUCAAUGCCAUGAUCAU